UAACACGGGGGGAGCAAGCGUUGUUCGGAAUCACUGGGCGUAAAGGGCGUGUAGGCGGUCCGGUAAGUGAGAUGUGAAAUCCCUCGGCUCACCCGAGGACCUGCAUCUCAAACUGCCUGACUCGAGUACGGGAGAGGAUGUGGGAAUUCCUGGUGUAGCGGUGAAAUGCGUAGAUAUCAGGAGGAACACCGGUGGCGAAAGCGCACAUCUGGCCCGAUACUGACGCUGAGGCGCGAAAGCUAGGGGAGCAAACGGGAUUAGAUACCCCGGUAGUCCUAGCCGUAAACGGUGAGCACUAGGUGUUGGAGGCAUCGACCCCUCCAGUGCCGCAGCUAACGCAUUAAGUGCUCCGCCUGGGGAGUACGGCCGCAAGGUUG
rnacentral:rRNA from 1 species